rnacentral:lncRNA from 1 species
UUGUGCGAGCAUUCGGUGAGGGUGACCUGUUUCAAGACUGUGAAUUGGAGACGGCGAAGUGGGAAGCCGAUAAUUCCGCAUAGCUGCGUCCUUGGGCAUGGUCCCUUGAUGAAAUGGGUCAUGCGCUUCCAUUACAGAUUGUUUUAUUUGCUUGUGUCCCCCCUUUCCUUUUUCCAAGGCUUAUUCGAAAAGGUUCGAAAGGUGACCAUGUUGAAGAAAUAUUCCACCCAAGAUGUUUAGUGGAACCAACUGUGGAACUCUGCGAUACUAUUCUCAUGAGCUGGAGCUAUAACAAAGAAAGUAAGAAGUGCGAGAAUGGAUUUGUAUGCUCGGAUUGCAAGAACAGAUUUGAGAGUGAGGAAGAGUGCUUAAGUAGUUGUCCUAUGAAGCGAGUGAGAAGACCGAAAUGGGGAAAUAAGAACUGCAGAUUUUGGCUUAUAAAUGGCGGCGCCUGUCAAAAAUCAUGGCUUGAAUUUAAGAAGCGCUUGAUUAAAAAAAUGCGCCGACUACUUUACUACACAGGAUGCGAGCUAGAUAUGAAUCGAUUAUUUGUGUACGACUUCCGCAGAAGAAGAUGUCAUGCUGUCAAAGACCGCCCACCUAAAAGACCUAACGAAACAGAGCCGAAAAAGGAAAGACCCGGAGUGAGCUCUUCACAAGCUCGACAACGACUUCGAGAUAUAAUAGAAAAUAAAACGCUGCCCCCUGGAUAUACCUGGCCAUCGGAGGACACUCAUAGACAUAGGAACAGGUUCCACCAUGCUGGAUGAUUAUCGCGUAUUUGGGGACUCCUGGUGCCUAUUUGUGAAAGGUUCCCAACAAUACGGCACCCAGCGUAGAUGCCUGGCCAUCGAGCUGCGUGCUGAAUACUGCAACCUAAAAAUGAAAAAUAAAGUUCUUCAACCACAUCUGAAACAAGUGC